rnacentral:misc_RNA from 1 species
GAUUAUUCUUUCUGAUACAUUGGGACCCAUAGAGAAAGCACGCAUGUUAGCCACACAAAUCCGCUGGGAAGCUAGGGUGAUUGACCUACAGAAUGGAAGCGACCAACGUCUUCUUGUAUGCCAAAAACCAUUCACGAGAAAGUGAUUUUUCUGGGACUGAACACUUCUUAACAUCGGUGACUUUCCUAAAUUCCACUAGGAAGGAGGAUAACCGCGACAUAUUGAAUCAUGAAAGAAGGAAGUUUCCAU